CCAAGAUGAAGUGUGUUGGUCGUGCUGCCCACUGGAGCUGCUGCCGGCGUACACUAAGGCUUCCUGCCCCUGCCUUCUUCGACUGUGACCUCUCCUACUGCGGUAGCCUUCUUCUUCGACUCCUUGUGUUCAGGCGAUGCAAGUUUUAGAGGGCUGGUAGCAUCGAAGCCAUGACCUGCAGGUGGAGGGUGGAAGAACAGCUAGCGAAAGCUGAACUCAUCUUGCUUGCGAAACCAAUUGAAUACCUGGGUUGUACUGGUCGUGGACUGUUAUUUGUGACUCCAAAUCUGGAAUGUUGGGUGGUAGUCGACGAAGUACAUCGUUUUUGUGAUGCUCCAGACCUGUGAUGGAGUUGGGUUGUCCUGUUGCACUUUUAUUGAUUAAUGUUUGGAUUAUGAUCUGAUUAUCCCCAAAACAGGGUAGUUUAUGCUGAAAUUUUCUGAGAA